UUUUUUAAGAGUUUGAUCCUGGCUCAGGAUGAAUGUUGGCGGCGUGCCUGAGAUAUGCAAGUCGAACGCCCUCCCGACGCAAGUCGGGGGGAGUGGCGGACGGCUGAGUAACGCGUAGGAACCUACCCCUUUCUGGAAUAUAGCUCGCCGAAAGGCGGGGUAAUAGUCCAUGAUGUCCCGCUCUGCGGGAUUAAAGAGUGUAACUACUUGGAAAGGGAUGAGCCUGCGUCUUAUCAUUGGUAGUUGGUAGGGUAACUGCCUACCAAGCCUAUAACGAGUAGCUGGUCUUAGAGGAUGGUCAGCCAGAGGGGGACUGAGACACGGCCCCCACUCCUACGGGAGGCAGCAAUCAGGAAUAGUCGGCAAUGGGCGAAAGCCUGACCGCGCGACGCCGCGUGUAGGAAGAAAUUCUAACGAAUGUAAACUACUGUAGUAGGGGAUAAAGGUCCGACGUUACGUCGGACUUGAUAGUACCCUGCUAGAAAGGGGCCGCUAACUGCGUGCCAGAAGCGUCGGUAAUACGUGGGCCCCGAACAUUAUCCGGUUUUAUUGGGUGUAAAAAGUAGUGUAGGUGUCCUGUUAAGUUUUGCUUUAAAUACUGUAGCUUAACUAUAGGAAAGGGUAAAAUACUGACAGGAUUGAGUUAUCUUUAGGGAGAUUGGAACUCAAGGAGGAGUAGUGAAAUGCGUUGAUACCUUGGGGAACACCAGUGGCGAAGGCGAAUCUCUGAAAGAUAACUGACACUGAGACACGAAAGCUAGGGGAGCGAAGCAGAUUAGAGACCUGCGUAGUCCUAGCCUUAAACCAUGCUUGCUAGCCGCAUUUUUUCACCUUCGGGUGAAGGAGUGUAGCGAAGGUAACCCGUUAAGCAAGCUACCUGGGGAGUACGACCGCAAGGUUAAAACUCAAAGGAAUUGGCGGGGAGGCACACAACCAGUGGAACAUGUGGUUCAAUUCGAUACGAACCGAAAAACCUCACCAGGGUUUGACAUACUACCGUUUAUUCCGCUAGAAAUAGUGGGAAAUCCGCAAGGAUGGUAGCACAGGUGCUGCAUGGCUGUCGUCAGCUCGUUCCGUGAGGAGUGCCCUUAAGUGAGACAACGAGCGCAACCCCUAUCUUGUGUUAAAUCUGUCACAAGACACGGUCCCGACUUAGUCGGGAAGGAAGGAGGGGCAGACGUCAAGUCAGCAUGGCCCUUAUACCCUGGGCCACACACAUGUUACAAUGGGAUGAGCAACGGGCUUUGCCAAACGGUAACGUUGAGCAAAUCCCUCAAACCAUCCCUCAGUGGGGAUUGAGGUCUGCAACUCGACCUCAUGAACGCGGAAUUGGUAGUAAUCGCGGAUCAGUCAUGCCGCGGUGAAUACGUUCUUGCCUCUUGCACACACCGCCCGUCAAGCCAACAAAGUCGGGGAUAUUUGAAUCUUACCUAUGGUAGGAGAGAAUAUCAUCGGCGAUGGGGGUUAAGUCGUAACAAGGUAACCGUUUUGGAAGAAGCGGUUGGAUCACCUCCUU
rnacentral:rRNA from 3 species